AUUGAACGCUGGCGGCAGGCCUAACACAUGCAAGUCGAGCGGUAGAGAGAAGCUUGCUUCUCUUGAGAGCGGCGGACGGGUGAGUAAUGCCUAGGAAUCUGCCUGGUAGUGGGGGAUAACGUUCGGAAACGGACGCUAAUACCGCAUACGUCCUACGGGAGAAAGCGGGGGACCUUCGGGCCUUGCGCUAUCAGAUGAGCCUAGGUCGGAUUAGCUAGUUGGUGGGGUAAUGGCUCACCAAGGCGACGAUCCGUAACUGGUCUGAGAGGAUGAUCAGUCACACUGGAACUGAGACACGGUCCAGACUCCUACGGGAGGCAGCAGUGGGGAAUAUUGGACAAUGGGCGAAAGCCUGAUCCAGCCAUGCCGCGUGUGUGAAGAAGGUCUUCGGAUUGUAAAGCACUUUAAGUUGGGAGGAAGGGCAGUAAAUUAAUACUUUGCUGUUUUGACGUUACCGACAGAAUAAGCACCGGCUAACUCUGUG
rnacentral:rRNA from 1 species